UACGUAGGGUGCGAGCGUUGUCCGGAAUUAUUGGGCGUAAAGGGCUCGUAGGCGGUCUGUCGCGUCGGGAGUGAAAACUCAGGGCUUAACCCUGAGCCUGCUUCCGAUACGGGCAGACUAGAGGUAUGCAGGGGAGAACGGAAUUCCUGGUGUAGCGGUGAAAUGCGCAGAUAUCAGGAGGAACACCGGUGGCGAAGGCGGGUCUCUGGGAAGUAACUGACGCUGAGAAGCGAAAGCGUGGGUAGCGAACAGG
rnacentral:rRNA from 1 species